GACGAACGCUGGCGGCGUGCUUAACACAUGCAAGUCGAACGGAAAGGCCCUGCUUUUGUGGGGUGCUCGAGUGGCGAACGGGUGAGUAACACGUGAGUAACCUGCCCUUGACUUUGGGAUAACUUCAGGAAACUGGGGCUAAUACCGGAUAGGAGCUCCUGCUGCAUGGUGGGGGUUGGAAAGUUUCGGCGGUUGGGGAUGGACUCGCGGCUUAUCAGCUUGUUGGUGGGGUAGUGGCUUACCAAGGCUUUGACGGGUAGCCGGCCUGAGAGGGUGACCGGCCACAUUGGGACUGAGAUACGGCCCAGACUCCUACGGAAGGCAGCAGUGGGGAAUAUUGCACAAUGGGCGGAAGCCUGAUGCAGCAACGCCGCGUGCGGGAUGACGGCCUUCGGGUUGUAAACCGCUUUCGCCUGUGACGAAGCGUGAGUGACGGUAAUGGGUAAAGAAGCACCGGCUAACUACGUGCUAGCAGCAGCCGCCGUAA
rnacentral:rRNA from 1 species